rnacentral:rRNA from 1 species
CGGACGGGUGAGUAACACGUGAGCAACCUGCCUUCGAGAGGGGAAUAACGGCUGGAAACGGUCGCUAAUACCGCAUAACAUACCGGGAGGACAUCCUGCUGGUAUCAAAGAUUUAUCGCUCGAAGAUGGGCUCGCGUCCGAUUAGGUAGUUGGUGAGGUAACGGCUCACCAAGCCGACGAUCGGUAGCCGGACUGAGAGGUUGAACGGCCACAUUGGGACUGAGACACGGCCCAGACUCCUACGGGAGGCAGCAG